rnacentral:rRNA from 1 species
UACGGAGGGUGCAAGCGUUGUCCGGAAUCACUGGGCGUAAAGGGCGCGUAGGCGGCCCGGUAAGUAGGGGGUGAAAUCCUGCGGCUUAACCGCAGGGCUGCCUUCUAAACUGUCGGGCUCGAGCACGGUAGAGGCAGAUGGAAUUCCCGGUGUAGCGGUGGAAUGCGUAGAGAUCGGGAAGAACAUCAGUGGCGAAGGCAGCUCGCUGGGACGUUACUGACGCUGAGACGCGAAAGCGUGGGGAGCAAACAGG